AGCAGCCGCGGUAAUUCCAGCUCCAAUAGCGUAUAUUAAAGUUGUUGCAGUUAAAAAGCUCGUAGUUGAAUUUCGGGACUAAUAUGUUGGUCGUGCCUCGGUACGUACUGAUAUUUUUGGUUUCUCCCUUCUGACGAACCUUGAUGUCAUUAAUUUGGUGUCUUGGGAAAUCAGGACUGUUACUUUGAAAAAUUAGAGUGUUUAAAGCAGGCUCACGCUUGAAUACAUUAGCAUGGAAUAAUGAAAUAGGACGUUUGAUUCUAUUUUGUUGGUUUCUAGGAUCGACGUAAUGAUUAAUAGGGAUAGUUGGGGCAUUAGUAUUCAAUUGUCAGAGGUGAAAUUCUUGGAUUUAUUGAAG
rnacentral:rRNA from 1 species